GUGGGUGUAGCUCAGCUGGUAGAGUCCAGGAUUGUGAUUCCUGUUGUCGCGGGUUCAAACCCCGUCAUCCACCCCA
rnacentral:tRNA from 1 species